CUACGGGGUGCUCCAGUGAGGAAUAUUGCACAAUGGGGGGAACCCUGAUGCAGCAACGCCGCGUGGAGGAUGACGCAUUUCGGUGUGUAAACUCCUUUUAUAUGUCAAGAAAAUGACGGUAGCAUAUGAAUAAGCACCGGCUAACUCCGUGCCAGCAGCCGCGGUAAUACGGAGGGUGCAAGCGUUACUCGGAAUCACUGGGCGUAAAGGACGCGUAGGCGGGUUGGAAAGUCAGGUGUGAAAUCCUACAGCUUAACUGUAGAAAUGCACUUGAAACUGCUAAUCUAGAGUAUGGGAGGGGGAGAUGGAAUUAGUGGUGUAGGGGUAAAAUCCGUAGAUAUCACUAGGAAUACCUAAAGCGAAGGCGAUCUCCUGGAACAUUACUGACGCUAAGGCGUGAAAGCGUGGGGAGCAAACAGGAUUAGAUACCCCAGUAGUC
rnacentral:rRNA from 1 species